UGCAGCGUAGCUUAACGGCAAAGCCCCAAGCUCAUAACUUGGUCAUUGCGGGUUCGACUCCCGUCGCUGCGACCA
rnacentral:tRNA from 1 species